CGCAUCUGUGCAUGCAGCAUAUCAAUAAGCGGAGGAAAAGAAACUAACAAGGAUUCCCCUAGUAACGGCGAGUGAAGCGGGAAGAGCUCAAAUUUGAAAUCUUAAAGGGUUUCCCUUUACGAAUUGUAGUUUAAAGAAGUGUUUUCUGUUGAGGUUUUGGUAAAAGUUCUUUGGAAUAGGACAUCAUAGAGGGUGAGAAUCCCGUAUUUGACCUUUACUUUCAACUUUGCUGAUACACUUUCAAAGAGUCGGAUUGUUUGGGAAUGCAGUCCAAAAUGGGUGGUAAAUUUCAUCUAAAGCUAAAUAUUGGCGAGAGACCGAUAGCGAACAAGUACCGUGAGGGAAAGAUGAAAAGAACUUUGAAAAGAGAGUUAAACAGUACGUGAAAUUGUCAAAAGGGAAGCGUUUGACACCAGUGUUGUUUUUCUGAAAAUCAAUUAAAGAACUGUUUAUGCUAAGUUGUUUAGACUUUAUCAGCUAUACUGCUUAGUUUUGAGCUUUUCUUUAAUGCACUUUUCAGUUAACAAGUCAACAUCAAUUUCUUUUGCUGUAAAAAAGCUUGAGGAAGGUGGCUUGAGAUUCGUCUUAAGUGUUUAUAGCCUCUUGCCUAUGCAGUCGGAGAGAUUGAGGUCUGCAGCGUAGAUCCUUCGGGGCUAAAUGCAUUUGUGCUAAGUUAUAGCAUUUUAUAGACAACUUGUUGACUAUGAUUUGUCUUGUAGCUUACUCGCUUAUGUUAUUUUACCUACGCUUAGGAUGUUGAAUCUGUGCGAGACUAC
rnacentral:rRNA from 1 species